GUAUAAAAUUCAAUUUAUUUUUCCUUCUAAACAUUUGGUGUAUGUGAAAAACAUGCAGAUACAAGAAAAGCCCCACAAAUAGUAACUUUGCAAAGCAGUCCCAAUCGUCCAAGAUGAACUUGGACAAAGAUCCACACAAGUGAUGCACAAAUAAUGGAGAAAUGAAGAAUAACAAGCGUGCACGAAAACCAGCAACAACUCAUUAUAAAACUUCAGUAAUGAUCCUUCCGCAGGUUCACCUACGGAAA
rnacentral:misc_RNA from 1 species